AAAGCCUUGAAUGAAUUCAAGAGAAGACCUUGGAGUGAGGCAUUUCAAGUCCUUAAAGAAAGCAACUUCAAACCCAGAUUGAUGUACCCUGUAAAGCUAUCUUUCAAAAUUA